CAGCACCUCAAGUGGUCAGGAUGAUUAUUGGGCCUAAAGCAUCCGUAGCCGGCGCUGUAAGUUUUCGGUUAAAUCUGUACGCUCAACGUACAGGCUGCCGGGAAUACUGCAGCGCUAGGGAGUGGGAGAGGUAGACGGUACUCGGUAGGAAGGGGUAAAAUCCUUUGAUCUAUUGAUGACCACCUGUGGCGAAGGCGGUCUACCAGAACACGUCCGACGGUGAGGGAUGAAAGCUGGGGGAGCAAACCGGAUUAGAGACCCGCGUAGUC
rnacentral:rRNA from 1 species